GUCUACAACCAUACCACCUUGAACAUGCCCAAUUUCAUUUGAUCUUGGAGGCUAAGCAAGGUCAAACCUGUAUAGUACUUACAUAUUGCCCUAUUUAGGAGGCAGAGAACAGAGUAUAGAAGACU
rnacentral:rRNA from 1 species